AUUCAACUCCUUUGUUACGGAAAGGAGCCUAAAUAAGUUUAGGAGUAAAAAUGUGCUUAACAAGUCACAUUAUACAGUUUAAUGGAGUCUGUUCAAUAAAAGUGUUUAACAUGAUUUCUGAACGACCACCUCAUCUCUGUACCCCACACAUACAGAUAACUGUAAGGUCCCUCAUCUCUGUACCCCACACAUACAGAUAACUGUAAGGUCCCUCAUCUCUGUACCCCACACAUACAGAUAACUGUAAGGUCCCUCAUCUCUGUACCCCACACAUACAGAUAACUGUAAGGUCCCUCAUCUCUGUACCCCACACAUACAGAUAACUGUAAGGUCCCUCAUCUCUGUACCCCACACAUACAGAUAACUGUAAGGUCCCUCAUCUCUGUACCCCACACAUACAGAUAACUGUAAGGUCCCUCAUCUCUGUACCCCACACAUACAGAUAACUGUAAGGUCCUUCAGUCCAGCAGUGAAUUUCAAACACGGA